rnacentral:rRNA from 1 species
GAGUUUGAUCAUGGCUCAGGACGAACGCUGGCGGCGUGCCUAACACAUGCAAGUCGAGCGGAGACAGUGAGUAGCUUGCUAUGAGCUGUUUUAGCGGCGGACGGGUGAGUAACGCGUGAGCAACCUUUCCCAGACAGGGGAAUAACACACCGAAAGGUGUACUAAUACCGCAUAAGACCACGGGAUCACAUGGUUCUGGGGUAAAAGAUUUAUCGGUUUGGGUGGGCUCGCGUCCGAUUAGGUAGUUGGUGAGGUAACGGCCCACCAAGCCGACGAUCGGUAGCCGACCUGAGAGGGUGAUCGGCCACAUUGGGACUGAGACACGGCCCAAACUCCUACGGGAGGCAGCAGUGGGGAAUAUUGGGCAAUGGGGGGAACCCUGACCCAGCAACGCCGCGUGGAGGAAGAAGGUUUUCGGAUCGUAAACUCCUGUCCUUGGAGACGAGUAGAAGACGGUAUCCAAGGAGGAAGCCCCGGCUAACUACGUGCCAGCCGCCGCGGUAAC